rnacentral:tRNA from 1 species
GCGGGUGUAGCCAAGUGGUUAAGGCUCCGGAUUGUGGUUCCGGUAUUCGUGGGUUCAAUUCCCAUCACUCGCCCCA